rnacentral:rRNA from 1 species
AGCGAAUGCUGGCGGCAGGCCUAACACAUGCAAGUCGAACGAAGUCUUCGGACUUAGAGGCGGACGGGUGAGUAACACGUGGGAACGUACCUUUUGGUUCGGAACAACUCAGGGAAACUUGAGCUAAUACCGGAUGAGCCCUUAGGGGGAAAGAUUUAUCGCCGAAAGAGCGGCCCGCGUUAGAUUGGCUAGUUGGUGAGGUAAAGGCUCACCAAGGCUACGAUCUAUAGCUGGUCUGAGAGGAUGAUCAGCCACACUGGGACUGAGACACGGCCCAGACUACAUCGGGAGGGAGCAGUGGGGAAUCUUGCGCAAUGGGCGAAAGCCUGACGCAGCCAUGCCGCGUGAAUGAUGAAAGUCUUAGGAUUGUAAAAUUCUUUUACCAGGGACGAUAAUUACGGUACCUGGAGAAAAAGCCCCGGCUAACUUCGUGCCAGCCGCCGCCGUAAGAC